rnacentral:lncRNA from 1 species
GUUUUUCUCCAUUGCUAAUUAAGGCUUACAUCUCAAAUUUUGUCUUGAUAUUAGUUUUUUUUCCUAAUCUUUUGGGCAUGGGAACUUGGGGUUUGAUAGGCAAAAUGAGAUAUUAUGUUAAAAAUGGCUGAAAUAGGGCACAACAAAGUACGCACGAUGCUUACAAGCAUCACCAACAAACAAAUAAAAUGGAAGAAGGAAAAUGAUAAACAACCUCCCUCUUCAUAAUUGGAACCAAACCAAUCUACAAAGCUUAUCAUGGUCAUAGAGUGAUCAUCUAUGUACACUCUAGCCUAAUCUAAAAAGAUACAUGUAAAAGAAUAUUGGAUUGCUUGAUCCAGCUGUUUUGUAUCUUUGAAUGACCUCCUAUUUUCAUCCUUCCAUAACAUUGAAAACAACUCCAAGGAGAAACAAAUAAAAUGGAAGAAGGAAAAUGAUAAACAACCUCCCUCUUCAUAAUUGGAACCAAACCAAUCUACAAAGCUUAUCAUGGUCAUAGAGUGAUCAUCUAUGUACACUCUAGCCUAAUCUAAAAAGAUACAUGUAAAAGAAUAUUGGAUUGCUUGAUCCAGCUGUUUUGUAUCUUUGAAUGACCUCCUAUUUUCAUCCUUCCAUAACAUUGAAAACAACUCCAAGGAGAGGCUCUCCAAGCUUUCUUCUACUUCACUACAAAAGAGCCAUGUCAAGCCAUGUCAACCCAGGAGAGUUCCUCUUAUAGAGGAGCGCAUCACCCAUGCCACUCUAAAUAGAGGAAAAUACUAGUUGCCACAAG